rnacentral:rRNA from 1 species
GACGAACGCUGGCGGCGUGCUUAACACAUGCAAGUCGAACGGUAAGGCCCCAGCUUGCUGGGGUACACGAGUGGCGAACGGGUGAGUAACACGUGGGUGACCUGCCCCGCACUUCGGGAUAAGCCUGGGAAACUGGGUCUAAUACCGGAUAGGACCGCACCGUGAGGGUGUGGUGGAAAGUGUUUCGGUGUGGGAUGGGCCCGCGGCCUAUCAGCUUGUUGGUGGGGUAAUGGCCUACCAAGGCGGCGACGGGUAGCCGGCCUGAGAGGGUGGACGGCCACAUUGGGACUGAGACACGGCCCAGACUCCUACGGGAGGCAGCAGUGGGGAAUAUUGCACAAUGGGCGGAAGCCUGAUGCAGCGACGCCGCGUGGGGGAUGACGGCCUUCGGGUUGUAAACUCCUUUCACCAUCGACGAAGGUUUUCUGACGGUAGAUGGAGAAGAAGCACCGGCUAACUACGUG